AAAAUGCAAUAAAAAACCUAAGUUAUUUCUCUCCUGCGUGCGCCGUUUCUUUCCAAAACCUCUCAUUUUUCCUUCAUUUCGCACAGAACAGGAAAGGGCUUCGAGAGCACAUCACCCAGGCAUGGUUUCCCCUUUAUUUCUCUUUGAUUUGCGAAGAAAAGAACAAAGGAAAACAAAAGAAAAAGGAAAGAAAUCGAGGAAAAAAAGAAAAAGGACCUUCAAAUUGCUCUUUAAUUCUCUGUUUUUUAAUAGGUUUUGAUAUCAUCCCCCCUUCGUUCCAAAAAUAAAAAAAAAGGUACGAUCCGGGAUGUGGCUCGUGCAGGUACUUCGGCUACGGCGCGAAUGUGGAAAACUGCCUAGGGUUUCCCUUGUGCUGGAAACGCUAGGCCUCCGUCUUGUUUUGGGUCCGGGCCAUAUAGGCCAACUGUAAUUUGAGCCCUUGUUUUAAAAUGGGCCAUGUAUUCUGGGCCGUUUUAUUUACUUCAUGUAGGCCGGGUAAAAUUUAGGUACUACAAUAACUUUUAUGCAUGUAAUAUAUUAUAUUCUAAAUAAUUUUAUAUAUGCAUUGAAUUCGUGCA